CCCCGCGCGCCUGCCACCGUGGCCGCCCCCACCGCCUACCACCCAACACGCGAUAAAAUCUCGUGGACGCUUCCUUACGCCACAAGCAUGGCCCGAUGACCGACACGUGGCGGGGCAGCCGAGCGGGGUGAAACCCACCGGCAACGGGAGGUGGGUGGUUGAUGGAUGGCGGCACGCCCGUUUGUUCGCUUCCCUAACAAAUCUUUUUAUCCUCUUGUAAAAACUCAACACUCCACGCAAAAUAAAGCAAGAAUAAUACAAUACGAGUACAUAAAGAUGAAAUGGCGCUACGCCAUCGGCUUUGGCACGGGACCACCGCGCGCGGGGUCCGCGUGGACGGAUGGGCCGCCUGAUCUGGACAGUGCGGUGCGGUUUAACCGGGCUGACGUGGCGCCUGCGCGCACCGGUUGGUUGCUACGGGUGGGUUAAAAGGGCACGAGGAAAGUCUCCAGGCAGCAGCAGCGGCAGUGGAGGCGGGCGGGGCCCACGCGCGGGCCCGGGCAUCUCCCGUCUCAUCCGCUUUUCUUUCCUUUUUCUUUUUCUCUUUCCUAACGUUCUGCUCGUGGGCUCCGACGUGGCGGAGGGGGUGACGUCGGCGGGGCCCGCCGGCCACCAACCUUCACCGCACCACUGGCCUACUUCUACUCUGAUGAAUUAUUAGUAAGAUAUUCCUUGAAAACACCCAGUAGUUUAAUAUCAUUACCACGGAGGAGAUCCGGAAGAUGUCAUUGUAUACGCGGAUUGGCGCGGUUUUACUUACACUAACUUUGGAGCAUUGAAGGCCGGUAAAUUUAAAUUUAAAUGUUUUCGCUGUGGUGUGGUGUGGUGCGGUGCGGGGCGUCGUGUUCUGGAUCCAGACGCCACCGGCAUCGGGUGCAUAUAUGCAUGGCGACGUACUGCUGCUCGCUUUAAAUUGCAAGUUUUUUAAACGAGCCACGUGCGCCUUCUUUCCAGCAUUGUACACCCAAAUUGAAUUUUGAAAAGAAAUAAAGAGUAAUUCAAGGCAUAUUUUCAGUAGGUGGCUAUCAAUGAAAAUAUGCCUGCGAAUCACUUUUUUUUUUUAAAAAACUCAAUUUGGGUGUAUUUUUGGAAAACAAAGUUAGAGGAUCGAUUUUGUUUUUUUAUCAUGACUUUACAAAUAUGAUUUCAUGAUGAAAUUUUGAAUGCACAACAAGUAUUUCCAAAAUAUAUCAUUUCUUUAAAUUUAUUAUUUUAUUUUGAACAUUUGUGCCUAGUUAUAGAAACUCCGCGUCCGUUGUAGGCUUCUUUUUGCUUAUGUCACUGAGUGUAUGUAGAAGGUACAUGUGGUGUUUAAUUUGACGUGGUUAGCAAGGACACAAGAUUUUGAUUCAUGAAAAGGGAAAGGACAUAUGGAUAGUAAACUUUGAAUGCAAUGGACAACAACAAGCACACGCUUCCUCAAAGAAGGGCAUCAAGAACAUUUUUCCUUGGCAUCUCGAUUAACUCAAUAAAACGUGGGUGUUCCCUCCUCCUCCCCUCCCUCGCACAUCGACAAACACACACGACAUGCACAUGUGUGCCCUUUUUGUGUGUUUGUGUGCGUUGUUGCUCACCCCGCAUGCCCAUAGUUUGGGAAGACCAUGUGUCCUUGAAGCUUCGCCCGUUGGCCAACUUCACACCUAUGCUUAUUGCAUUUGUGAGAUUUGAAAUAACUGCUAUGAGUGAUUUUUGGAAAGGACGAUGGGAGAGGGUUAGAUCCGGCAAAUUUGCUGAAAUAGCACUAUGUGCCCUUCGUUAGUCGGGGACGGGAAGCGAGACUCUCGACUUCCUUUUGAGAUCAGAGGGAGCAUGCCAAAGUGAUAAUGAACGGCCAUGACCGUGCCUUCCAUUCAUGGUGAUUGGUCAAAACUUUAUAUAAUCUCCAAAGAAGGAGUUCCAAGAAAUACACAAAGAGGUGUAUUCUAGUUGUUGCCAAAUUAGCAACUGCGAAUGGCGGUCUCCGAGUAGAGAUUAUCAUAUCAAAUACAAGAUUAUUAAUUCUAAACGCUCCUCCUAAUGUGUGCAUGUACUCUCAUCGCUCUUGAAAAAGUGCACCAAUUUCUAAAUUGUGAAUUGAGAAAAAUGUGUGCGCGUGGGGGGGUGUUGUCCCCCCUAGGUGUGUGUGCAUGCCCUUAUGCAUCUUGUUUCCCACGCAUGCGUCGUCACUUAGCUCGUGUGGCCGCGUUCGGAAAGCCAAUCCACGUGCCCAUGAUGCUUCACCCAUUGGUCGCAUUAGAAGCUAUCUAUGUCGCAUGCAUGAGGUUUGGAAUAACCGCUACAUGUGAUUUGCGAAGAGAGUUAUGUUUGGAGGGAAAUACCAAAAUAGCAAUAGUGUGCCCUUCCUUGGUGGAAGAUAAGAAGCAAGACUCGUGACUUUCUUUGGAGAUCAGAGGGAGUAUAACAAAGUGAUAGUGAAUGGCCAUGACUUUGCCUUAUCAUUCAUGAUGAUUGAUCAACGAUUUAUAAAAUGUCCAAAGAGCGGUUCUGAGAAAACAUGGAGGGGUGUAUUCGGGGUGUUGAGAAUUUAGCAACUCCCAAAUGUGGUUUACAUGCAAUGAUUUAUCUUAUCUAACACGAUAUUAAUUAAUUCUACACACUCCUCCGGAUGAGUGCAUUUAUUCCCACCACUAUUGAAAAACACAUCAAUUUUCUCAAUUUUGAAUGGAGAAAAGCGUGUGCGUGUGGUAGGUGCUUUUGCUCAAAAUCAUUCCUAUAAGUGUGCGUGUGCAUGCGCAUGUGUAUCUCGUUUCAUGUGCAUGCACUAUCGCUUAGCCCAUGUGCCCAUGCUCGAGAAGCCAAUCCACAUGCCCUUGAUCCUUCACCCAUUGUCCAUAAUAGAAGCUAUGUAUGUGGCAUGCACGAGAUUUGGAGUAACCGCUACACGAAAUUAGUGGAGAGGGAUAGGUUCUGAGGGAAAAGACCAAAAUAGCAAAGUGUGGCCUUCCUUACUGGCAAAUAGAAGCAAGACUCAUGACUUCCUUCACAGGUUGGCGGGAGUAUAACAAAGUAACAAUGAAAGAACAUGUCAUGGUUUUGUCACGACGAAAAUCCUCGUGAUAGGACUAAGUCUAGGAGCUAUCACAACUAGGUGGUUGCUUGGAUGGGGUUGAUCGGGAAUGAGAGACAAGAGUUUACCCAGGUUCGGCCCCUCCGAUGGAGGUAAAAACCUGUGUCCUCCUUUUUGUCUUUAUUGAUGAUGAUCUCGAUUACAAGGGUUCGAAAUCUCUAACCUAACUCUCGAGGAUUUCUAACUUGUCAUUUCUACCUCAGGGGUCCCCUUUAUUUAUAGGUUGAGGCCCUAAGAUCACAAUAGAGUCUGGGUCGUACUGCAACCCGUGACUUAGUCUAAUUCCUACUCAUCUUCUCAUCCAAGUAGGGAAAGCUUCUUAUGUCUUCCGCAACGAGUCAGCCCACCAGGUGAUUGCGUAACCCGACCUUCAAGACGAGCCCCCCCUUGGGCCUCAUGUCUCAUGUAGGUCUUGUUAUUUGGUUGGAUUUGGAAGGUCGGGUCAUGCCGUGGGCGGGUUACGCCAUGGGGUAUAUCCCCAACAUUAGCCCCCAUUUUAAUUUGGAUUCAUCCAUGUUAAACUCCAACUUGAAAAAUGAAAAAGAGCCUUCAUAGAUGAAGUUAAGCUUUGAUCCUUUUACCCUUAAGCCGAUAUUUCUCCUUGCUGAUGACGUGUCCGAGUUGAUAAUAUGUCGGUUUAUUUCUUCUGUCCAACACUUAGCUUCUUUUUUAUCUCCUUCGCCACCAUAUCAUCAUAAUGACUGUUGACAUGGACGGGUCAUGAUGACGAAUCUUGUUUUUGAACAGUAGUCAAAUCUAGGCAGAUGCGAAAAUCAAGGCGACACAGCCGCCGCUAAUUGCUUUAAUCCAUUAUUUUUGCUGCGCCGCUUCGGUUUCAAACCUUCCCUUAUAAAUAGACCGUACGGGGUCAUUUCUUGAUUUUUCUCCCGUCUUAUUCCUCUCGCCAAUUUCUAAAUUGUGAAUUGAGAAAAAAUGUGUGCGCGUGGGGGGGUGUUGUCCCCCCUAGGUGUGUGUGCAUGCCCUUAUGCAUCUUGUUUCCCAUGCAUGCGUCGUCACUUAGCUCGUGUGGCCGUGUUGGGAAAGCCAAUCCACGUGUCCAUGAUGCUUCACACAUUGGCCGCAUUAGAAGCUAUCUAUGUGGCAUGCAUGAGGUUUGGAAUAACCGCUACAUGUGAUUUGCGAAGAGAGUUAUGUUUGCAGCGAAAUGCCAAAAUAGCUAUAGUGUGCCCUUCCUUGGUGGAAGAUCGGAAGCAAGACUCGUGACUUUCUUUGGAGAUCAGAGGGAGUAUAACAAAGUGAUAGUGAAUGGCCAUGACUUUGCCUUGUCAUUCAUGAUGAUUGAUCAAAGAUUUAUAAAAUGUCCAAAGAGCGGUUCUGAGAAGACAUGGAGGGGUGCAUUCGGGGUGUUGAGAAUUUAGCAACUCCCAAAUGUGGUUUACAUGCAAUGGUUUAUCCUAUCUAACACGGUAUUAAUUAAUUCUACACACUCCUUUGCAUGAGUGCAUUUACUCCCACCACUAUUGAAAAAACACAUCAAUUUUCUCAAUUUUGAUCGGAGAAAAGCGUGUGUGUGUGUGGUAGGUGCUUUUGCUCAAAAGUAUUCCUAUAAGUGUGCGUGUGCAUGCGCAUGUGUAUCUCGUUUCAUGUGCAUGCAUUAUCGCUUAGCCCAUGUGCCCACGCUCGAGAAGCCAAUCCACAUGCCCUUGAUCCUUCACCCAUUGUCCAUAAUAGAAGCUAUGUAUGUGGCAUGCAUGAGAUUUGGAAUAACCGCUACGCGAAAUUAGUGGAUAGGGAUAGGUUCUGAGGGAAAAGACCAAAAUAGCAAAGUGUGGCCUUCCUUACUGGCAAAUAGAAGCAAGACUCGUGACUUCCUUCACAGGUUGGCGGGAGUAUAACAAAGUAACAAUGAAAUAACAUGUCAUGGUUUUGUCACGACGGAUGUCCUCGUGAUAGGACUAAGUCUAGGAUCCAUCACAACUAGGUGGUUGUUUGGAUGGGGUUGAUCGGGAAUGAGAGACAAGAGUUUACCCAGGUUCGGCCCCUCCGAUGGAGGUAAAAACAUGUGUCCUGCUUUUGGUUUUUAUUGAUGAUGAUCUCGAUUACAAGGGUUCGAAAUCUCUAACCUAACUCUCGAGGAUUUCUAACUUGUCAUUUCAACCUCAGGGCCUCCCCUUUUUUAUAGGUUGAGGCCCUAAGAUCACAAUAGAGUCUGGGUCGUACUGCAACCCAUGACUUAGUCUAAUUCCUACUCAUCUUCUCAUCCAAGUAGGGAAAGCUUCUUAUGUCUUCCGCAAUGAGUCAGCCCACCAGGUGAUUGCGUAACCCGACCUUCAAGACGAGCCGCCCCUUGGGCCUCAUGUCUCAUGUAGGUCUUGUUCUUUGGUUGGAUUUGGAAGGUCGGGUCAUGCCGUGGACGGGUUACGCCAUGGGGUAUAUCCCCAACAUUAGCCCCAGUUUAAUUUGGAUUCAUACAUGUUAAACUCCAUCCCAAAAAGUGAAAAAGAGCCUUCACAGAUGAAGUUAAGCUUUGGUCCUUUUACCCUUAAGCCGGUAUUUCUCCUUGCUGAUGAUGUGUCCGAGUUGAUAAUAUGCCGGUUUAUUUCUUCUGUCCAAAACUUAGCUUCUUUUUUAUCUCCUUCGUCACCAUAUCAUCCUAAUGACUGUUGACAUGGACGCGUCAUGAUGGCGAAUCUUUUUUUGAACAGUAGUAAAAUCUAGUCACAUGCGGAAAUCGAGGCGACACAGCCGCCGCUAAUUGCUUUAAUCCAUUAUUUUUGCGGUGCCGCUUCGGUUUCACCCCUUCCCUUAUAAAUAGACCGUACGGGGUCAUUUCUUGCUUUUUCUCCCGUCUUCUUCCUCUCGCCGCCUUAGUCUUCUUGAGCAUCAUCAGAGUUCAAGCCCGAGAAUACAUCUAGUCAUGCUGGCAUUGUCGAUAGCGCGUCCACAUCGCGUGCGGUCUUCUCCAGGAAUGCAUCUCUACAAGCCAUUCUUGUUCCUAGAUCCCGUAAGUAGAACUUCUUCCAUUAGGUUUUUUCGUCGGAGUUCAUCGUAGUUAUUUGUAGUUCUUGUGAACCGCAAUAUCAAUAGAUCCAAAACUCCCGGUUCCAUCUAGCGUAUGUAGUUUUGAUAUUAGUCUCCUCCUUAUUUUGCAAAAUGUUAGGUCUAGAACGCCUUAUUAGAUCUUGUGUACACAUCACCUUCGAUACCUCCGCUGGUCCUAGAACAUUUUCAUUCCUUUUUCCGUAAUUUAUCUGAUCCAGUCAUCCUGUUGCUUUGGUAGAAAGUGGUUUUUGCACGUAAAUUGCGCAUAGUCCCAUGGAUCUCGUAUUUCACCAUUUAGCCGGCUUAGCUCAUACUUCUUCAUUUUGCCGCCUUAACUCAUACUACACCAUUGAACCAAGUUAACUUGUUAGUCUCCUCAUUAGCUUGUGGGUUUGCUUUCCGGAUUAUCCGGUUGUCCAUUGCCCCCCACCAUAUAUCGGCUUACUUUCAAUUUACUGGCUUGUUUUCUAUUUUCUCCUUAUAGAGUUUUCUGCAACAAUUUCAAUGGCCCCCAAGACGAGUAAAUAUUGUGGCUCGGUCCGGUCCAGAGUGUGAGUGCUUACUGUGCAGGACCUCGUAGGCCAAGGGAGUUUGCCCGCUCAAGAUGAACUUGACUGGUGAGUCCCUGAAGAAGAAGCUACUCCAUAGCCCGGACACGGGGAAGUUGUCGUUUUUUGUGAUCAUAUGAUCACGGGUUUUCGGUUGCCCAGGUCAAAAUUCUUCAUAGAUAUACUCCAUUUCUUCCACCUUAGGCCCCAAGAUAUUGGCCCCAAUUCCAUGACUAAUAUCUCCUAGUUUCAAGUUCUUUGUGAGGUGUAUAUCCAAAUCGAACCUACCAUGACUCUCUUUAGGCGGUUCUUCUAUAGCAACCACCAAACUGAGAUGAAGAAUGGUCUGAGUGUAGAGCUUGGUGGGAUUUUGAUUCACAAAAGAAAGAACAAUGUUUUUCCUGAAUCAAAGUUGGCGAGUCAUCCUAAAGGUUGGAAAUCCACUUGGUUUACUGUAAGGAUACUUCUCCAGAAGGUCAGAAUCCUUUGCCGGGUUAUAGACCUGACUAGAUUAGCGCCACGUGCAAAUUUCCACGUUGGCCAGGUGAGGAAGAGGAGAAACUGUUGGCACCCACACUCUUAAGGCUGAAAACUUUAACUGCUCAUCGUCUUAUCGGGAAUUGAUCUGAUCCGGUGUUGGAUAAGCUAGAUGAUUCAUCCCCUUAGUUUAAGGGGUGAAUUGAUGUGCAAUUAUACUAGCGAGUCAAGGGACGCCCAACGCUUUAGAGAGGUGGAUUUUUUCCAAAAAUGAAAUCAACAAAGCCACCAAGAAAAUGUUUGGCGACUCAAAAGAGAAGUGGAGUGUGACCGGCUUAGCUCCAUUCUGCGGGACCAACCCGGUUCCACGUGCAAAUUCCGAUUUUCGAAGAGUUAGGGCCAGGACCCUUAUUCCUCCUCCUCCUGGUCAAGCGGAUGACCUGACACGUGAAGCCACCUUGGGUGGAGAGUCUGAGGUAGAACUUGACUCGCCUGGUCGUGUCUUUGUUGAACUUGCUAAUGAUUCUUCUCCCAAGGGCAAUACUAGUCAAGCCGACGAUGUUGAGCAAACUCAGCACGCCGCUCAGUCGAAGCGCAAGACCCGGAGUAGCUCCGGGGAACUGUCUCUCGGCUUACCUCUCGAGUUGAUCGUCCACAGACAACGUUUUGAGGUGCCGCAUAGCCCAAGUGCUUCUCAUCCUCAAGCUAGCCUUUUUAAACAACCUCUUAGUCCAUCUAAUUCACUUUAUCAGGAGUCGCCACCUUCCUCUAGCGACUCAAGAGCAACACAGUUUCUGGCUUUCACCAUCAAUCGUGGAGCCAAAGCUUUUGCCCGAAAAAAGGUGGGCGAGUCUUCUUCUGCUGAUGGGGAUCACAACAUUCAAAUUCCUCCGACAGUUGAAGUGGCGACCCAAGUUGAGCCGUCUAUCUAGAAUGAGCCGGAAUUAGGCAUUAAACCACCUCGUGAUGUGGAGAUGACCCAUGCUCAAGAAACAGUUAUCACACAGACAACUGCUUAUAAUCAAGGCGCAUCCAAUGAGCCGAACAUUCAACCUCCUAGCCAUCCUCAUCCUUCAAUCCCUAUGCCCCAUGUGGAUAAUGUUGCUCCAUCAGCCGCCAUAGACAACAUAGAAAUGGCUAUUUUGGGAGAAGCCUUUCAAGCCCCUCGCACUUCGUCUGUUUUAGCGAAGAUUGUGACCAAGGAUGAUCCCGCGAAUUUGGAGAAGGGAAAGGCCAAGCUGGAGCUUCCACGGCUUGAUGAGCUUGAUACCAAUGGGUUAUACCAGCAACAUGUGACCCGAUUGUAUGAGAUCCGGGACAUUGAAAUGAACUUGGUCAACACCUUGAGAACUAAAUAUGAGGUUAACUUUUUAACUUGUACCCUUUAUAAUGUAUCUUGUAGCCCCCAAGGGCCAACUUAGGGUGUGUUCGGACUCCCUUCGCUCCGCGACUCCGCGCUAGAGUGGAGUGGCAUCCAGUGAUAAUUUGGAGAGCUACUAAAACAUCGCUCGGUGUGCUCCGCUCCGUGGAGGGCUGUCGAACAGGCGCUUAGUACAAUAGGUA